ACUAGCAAAUAAGCCUCUUAAGGAGAAUUUGUGAGAUACAUCUGGCAAUUCUGUGCUUGAUAUGGAACACACCAUGGAACACCCUGGUACCAGCCUAGAGCAAAUUUAAGAGCAAAGUCCACAGAAUUAGUAAUUUAUUCUCAGGGCCUUUUACAUAGGCCCCUAAAACAUUUAAAUUGUCUUUCUCACUCUAGAGACUUAGCUGAAAACGUCCGUGUGUUUUUAGCCAUUUUUCAUGUAUAUAAUAUGUUGUUAAUACAAAUGUCAGAAAGAGAAACCAAAUCAAAAGGCAUUUCAAAAACUAGGAAUCAUGUGUGUGGAAAAAAUAUGUUUUAAGAUUAAAGAUUCUUACAAAUCUUACCAAAGCUAGUUUGACUUUGAUACUGAAGGCUUCAUAUAAUAGUCUUUGAUAUAAUCUUAGAGAAUUACAGAAAGCAAUGUAAAUAUUGCAUUAAUUUAUGAAAGUUAAUGCAGUGGUGGCCUAACUUGUACCUGGAAAAUUUAACUUUGUGCCUCUUUUGAUCCAACAAUGACUUAUCUAGUUAGUCCCUAGGCUGGAAGCUUGAGACAUGCCAGGAUCUGGUAAUCUUGGUGUUGUACAGUACAGUUAAGUGUUGCAUUAAGAAUGCCAGUCUUUUCUGUCCUCUGACCUUGUCUUCCCUUCUCUGGCCUCAUGGCUCUGCUCUUGUCUGCCUGCUUCUACCCAGUCUCCAGGCUCUCACCGCCCCCCAAUCCUUCUUACCCCUGAUCUCUUGCAUGUAAUCAUUUCUCAAGAGCACAUCUUGGCAUGGGUCUGCAGUAAGUAAUACUCCCUAAAUAUAUUUUGUUUCAACUUCAUGUAUUAAAUUUGUUAUCACACUAACAAGUCCCUUAUGUAGAUCUUUUAAUGAAGUUCUUGGGGGUACAUUUUGCUUAGUAGACGUAUUAUAUUAUGUGUGUUUUCUUGAGUUGUUUGUAUGACACAGUUUAAGAGUCAUUUUAGGUCAGAUGAUGAAGGAAAUAUUUUAAUAGAUUGUUUAACUAAUUAAUGGUAACGAGUAAGUUACAGUUGGAUUUAUUGAUGUUUUAUCCAAAGAGGAUAUUAAGUGUAAUUCAGGAGCUCAUAGAUUCCCCAUUGACCCCUCUUACAAGUAGAAAGUUGGAAAGUGUUUAAAUAUGAGACUAAAAGUGUAGGGAGGAUGUUCUCUGGACAGACUGCACUGAUAAAGCAACCUGAAAAGAACACAUUUUGAUAAGGUUUACUUGGGAUUAUACUUUUGUCUUUUGUUAAUUGGACAUUUGAGUUUUCAACUUUCCCAUUUCCCUUGAUAAAAUAUCAAUGAAGAGUACGUUAUGGUAUAAAACUCACUUAUUUUUUUUCUCUCCAUACAGAAUCUCUGCCUACCAUGAGGAGGUGUUGUUGGAGGACGAAAUCUGAAAAUCAUGGCUGGGAAAAAGACUGUUUUAAUGAAUAAAGAUAUUUACAUAUCCAGAUAAUUUUUGUUCACUUUAGUUUACAAUAUGGCUUCAGUGAGCUGCAUAGUUCUCCUAAGCAAGGAGGUGGAUUUCAUCCUCCUUACCACUUUCACCCUUGCCUACCCCAGGGACUGUCUGACAAGACCUAAUAUCAGAUUCAUCAGUGAGUAAGAAUCCCGAUUCUACGCAAAGAAAUUGAAUUGGUUCUGUUUUUUUCAAGAGAUGAAAUUGCUUCUUGUGGUUAUGAAGGCAGGUCCAUUAAUGAACAUAAGAGGAAGGACCAUGGAAAGGAAUAUAUCUCUUACAUAUUCACAGAAGAUUAUGCCAAGCAGGAAUACUGCAUAUAAGACCAAAAUUUCACUGGAAGAACCUGACUGAGGAAGUGAAAAGGAAAAGAUGGGAAAUAGGAAAACAUUUGAAAAUAAGGCUGUUGACAGGCUGGAGAGGAAGGAGGAGAUUGAAAAUUUAAAUUGUGCUACCUGAAACAAUGUAUUUUCAUGGAUACAAAUAUGUCUUUGCCUAUUUAAAAAAGUACUAGUUACUAUGAGGUAUGAUUUAUCCAUGUC
rnacentral:sRNA from 1 species